rnacentral:rRNA from 1 species
CAGUCGCCGCGGUAAAACAGAGGGUGCAAGCGUUAAUCGGAAUUACUGGGCGUAAAGCGCGCGUAGGUGGUUUGUUAAGUUGGAUGUGAAAUCCCCGGGCUCAACCUGGGAACUGCAUCCAAAACUGGCAAGCUAGAGUAUGGUAGAGGGUGGUGGAAUUUCCUGUGUAGCGGUGAAAUGCGUAGAUAUAGGAAGGAACACCAGUGGCGAAGGCGACCACCUGGACUGAUACUGACACUGAGGUGCGAAAGCGUGGGGAGCAAACAGGAUUAGAGACCCCUGUAGUCCCUGUCUAUUAUAA